UGUGCGCGUGCAUUAUGUACACGUAAUGGGCUUUGCGUAAGGGCAAGCACGCUCCCUCGCCAGCCUGUGGGGAGCCAUGAGAGCAGUGCAUCAGGCCGGGACCGAGAGGGCGUGUGUCACCCUGCGAAGGUCACACGCACACACACAUACACUCACCUCCACGUGCGCACAUGGGUGUACACGCCGCUGUCGCCACCGCAGAGGGUCGGCGGCGGUCAGUCAGCGCGCGAGAGGAAAGGAGAGAGGGCGGGUUGGCGGGCGUGUGAGCAGCUGUUUCGCGGGAGAGGAGACGGAGAGCGCUUCGUGAUUUAUCGGACUCAAAGAACUCUGCAAUUUUCUCCCGAAUUUGAGGUGUAAGGAAGGGCGGUGGUCUUGCCAAGCUCACGGACUCGACUUGAUCGCCAACAUAGAAGCGUGAAGUGUGAUUAUCUCAGCGAAGGUCCUGGCGGUCGGGUCCUGUGGUGCCCCCCCCCUCCCCCAGGACUUUACUUUCGGCUGUGGUGUGUGGUGGAAAGUGGAGAGAGAUGGUGAUUGCAACAUUUGCAACGGAAAGACUUCGGAGGAUAAGGGUUGCAAAGUGUUUAGUGUAGAGAGAGAAAUAACAAAGUGUUGUGGGAGCAGAUCGUGUUUGUGAUUUGACGGAUGCUCUGAGCGCAACAAGUGCCAGUCGACAUGCGCGACGGAGGACUUAUGGGCAUCAGCGAGCCCCUGGAGGCGUCCCGCGGCCACGCCUUCGCCACCCACGCGCCCUCCAUCUCCUCGGCCGCCUCCACCAUGGGCGGCGGCCGAGUGAGGUUCGUGAGGCUCAUCAGGAGGCCGGGCGAGUCCUACGGGUUCAGCCUGCGGGGCGGCCGCGAGCACGGCACCGGGUUCUUCAUCUCCCACGUCGAGGUCGGCUCCGAGGCCUACAUGCAGGGCCUGAGGGUGAGGAAGCAGAGAUUUUGUUCGUCUUAUUUUUUUUGUUUUUUGUU